GGCGGACUGGUGAGUAACGCGUGAGGAACUUGCCUUUCAGAGGGGGACAACAGUUGGAAACGACUGCUAAUACCGCAUGACGCAUUUUGAUCGCAUGGUCGAAAUGCCAAAGAUUUAUCGCUGAAAGAUGGCCUCGCGUCUGAUUAGCUAGUUGGUGAGGUAACGGCCCACCAAGGCGACGAUCAGUAGCCGGACUGAGAGGUUGACCGGCCACAUUGGGACUGAGAUACGGCCCAGACUCCUACGGGAGGCAGCAGUGGGGAAUAUUGGGCAAUGGGCGCAAGCCUGACCCAGCAACGCCGCGUGAAGGAAGAAGGCUUUCGGGUUGUAAACUUCUUUUAAGUGGGAAGAGCAGAAGACGGUACCACUUGAAUAAGCCACGGCUAACUACGUGCCAGCAGCCGCGGUAAUACGUAGGUGGCAAGCGUUGUCCGGAUUUACUGGGUGUAAAGGGCGUGCAGCCGGGCAUGCAAGUCAGAUGUGAAAUCUCAGGGCUUAACCCUGAAACUGCAUUUGAAACUGUAUGUCUUGAGUGCCGGAGAGGUAAUCGGAAUUCCUUGUGUAGCGGUGAAAUGCGUAGAUAUAAGGAAGAACACCAGUGGCGAAGGCGGAUUACUGGACGGUAACUGACGGUGAGGCGCGAAAGCGUGGGGAGCGAACAGGAUUAGAUACCCUGGUAGUCCACGCUGUAAACGAUGGAUACUAGGUGUGCGGG
rnacentral:rRNA from 1 species